rnacentral:rRNA from 1 species
GUCGCAUGCUCCCGGCCGCCAUGGCGGCCGCGGGAAUUCGAUUAGAGUUGAUCAUGGCUCAGGACGAACGCUGGCGGCGUGCUUAACACAUGCAAGUCGAACGGAAAGGCCAGUGCUUGCACUGGUACUCGAGUGGCGAACGGGUGAGUAACACGUGGGUGAUCUGCCUUGUACUCUGGGAUAAGCUUGGGAAACUGGGUCUAAUACCGGAUAAUAGCCGCCUUUAGUGUGGUGGUUGGAAAGUUUUUUCGGUGCAAGAUGAGCUCGCGGCCUAUCAGCUUGUUGGUGGGGUAAUGGCCUACCAAGGCGUCGACGGGUAGCCGGCCUGAGAGGGUGUACGGCCACAUUGGGACUGAGAUACGGCCCAGACUCCUACGGGAGGCAGCAGUGGGGAAUAUUGCACAAUGGGCAGAAGCCUGAUGCAGCGACGCCGCGUGGGGGAUGACGGCCUUCGGGUUGUAAACUCCUUUCGACAGGGACGAAGCUUUUUGUGACGGUACCUGUAUAAGAAGCACCGGCUAACUACGUGCCAGCAGCCGCGGUAAUACGAAUCACUAGUGAAUUCGCGGCCGCCUGCAGGUCGACAUAUGGGAGAGCUCCCAA